ensembl:lncRNA
GUCAGCCUCUCUAAGUUCUCCUGUAUUACUGAUUUUUACUACUAGUCCAUGCAUACAUGAUAAUUAAACUUUUUCUGAUCUUCUAGUGUGCUCCUGCCCUUGACUGGGAUUCUCGCUGUCUUCUGUCUGCCUGCCAGAGGACUGCAGCCUGCUGUGUUGCUGAAUUUCUACCAUUUAGGACUGCUGGUUAGCAUACUGGACAGCAGAGGCUUGACUUGAGUAGAGACCCUUAUUCACCAGAAUUGCAAAGGACAUCAAAUCUCAAGAGGAAAGCUGAUUACUCAAGGAACUGAAUUUCUCAGGCGUUGCAGAUGGCUGAGUUAUGUUCUCUGGAGAAGUGGAUGGUCUUCAUUCUAUAACAAUGAUUCUGAAUGAUGUCAUUAAAGAUAGCCCACAAGCCUCAGAAGCUGUGAUUCUGAUAAUUCAGAAAAGAAAUAUGAGAAAGAGAAGAUCAUCCAGUAAAUACAAGAGAAAUAAUAGACCUGAAUCUUAA